rnacentral:rRNA from 1 species
GACGAACGCUGGCGGCGUGCUUAACACAUGUAAGUCGAACGGAAAGGCCCUGUUCUUGUUGGGUGCUCGAGUGGCGAACGGGUGUGUAACACGUGAGUAACCCGCCCUUGACUGUGGGAUAACUUCAGGAAACUGGGGAUAAUACCGGAUAGGAGCUCCUGAUGCAUGGUGGGGGAUGGAAAGUUUCGGCGGUUGGGGAUGGACGUGCGGCUUAUCAGCUUGUUGGUGGGGUAGUGGCUUACCCAGGCUUUGACGGGUAGCCGGCCUGAGAGGGUGACCGGCGACAUGGGGACUACGGUACGGCCCAGACUCGUACGGGAGGCAACAGUGGGGAAUAUGGCACAAUGGGGGGGAGCCUGAUACAGCGGCGCCGCGGGCGGAAUGACGGCCUUUGGGUGAAAAACCGCUUUCGCCUGAGACGAAGGGUGAGUGACGGUAAUGGAUAAAGAAGCACCGGCUAACUACGUG